rnacentral:tRNA from 1 species
GCGGACAUAGUUCAUUGGUAGAAUAUCAGCUUCCCAAGCUGAGGGGGCGGGUUCGAUUCCCGUUGUCCGCUCCA